rnacentral:tRNA from 1 species
GGGGAUUUAGUUCAGUGGUAGAGCACUUGCCUAGGAAGCACAAGGCCCUGGGUUCGGUCCCCAGCUCCG